UCUUUCAGCGAGCGUCGCUUCACCAACUCUUCGAUCAACAGCGAGAGGCGCCGGUACUGGGGUGGCUCGGAGCCCCGCUCCUCUGUCACUUCGCAGGUGUCCCAAGUACAGAAUUAUCGUCGUGAAACGAGCCAAUCCAAGGCAGGAGUGGUCAUUACGUCGUUCCGUCAGUCUCACAGGAGCUUUGGAAAAGACCCGUUGUGGUGAGUGGUUGAGAGGUAACUCGUAGAUUGCAGGCUUUUAGAGCGGCCGUAGAGGACGACUGAAAUUACGCUUCUUUAGAAUUUUUAGAAUUUUGCCCUUUUUAAGAUUUUUUAUGUAUGGUCCUCGAUUGAUGUAGUACACAGGGCACACCGAACUACACUUUGAACAGAACUCACCACACGUUUUACUUUUGACUUUUAAUCUGCUUAUACUCAGCCACUAUCACAUCGACAGCAAUUCAGUCUACAUUAGCUUCCAUUCAUACUUGUUCUUUAUCAAACUUAUGUUAACUUUUCCUACAUGGUCUUCAGUCACAACUGUCACAAGCCUCACGCCAUCAAAAUCAGAAAACAGGAACUAACACAAUUCGGACAUUUGAGCAGUACGUCAACGGCAGCGGUUGCAUUUGCUGUAGCCACGUCGGCAUCCUCGAACCCUCGGUCGCCACCCACCACGUCACCUCCGCAGACUAGACGAGACUCUGUUAUAUCUACUGCGGCUACUAUGCGAGUGUUGAAUGUGCUGAGGUGAGCACUUUA